GACGUAGGGCGCGAGCGUUGUCCGGAUUUAUUGGGCGUAAAGAGCUCGUAGGCGGCUUGUCGCGUCGAAUGUGAAAACUCGGGGCUCAACUCCGAGCUUGCAUUCGAUACGGGCAGGCUAGAGUUCGGUAGGGGAGACUGGAAUUCCUGGUGUAGCGGUGAAAUGCGCAGAUAUCAGGAGGAACACCGGUGGCGAAGGCGGGUCUCUGGGCCGAAACUGACGCUGAGGAGCGAAAGCGUGGGGAGCAAACAGG
rnacentral:rRNA from 1 species